rnacentral:lncRNA from 1 species
UAAGGGUUUGAUUAGGAUUUGAUUUAGGGUUUAGAAUUUGGAUUAGGGUUUGAUUUAGGGUUUAGGGUUUGUUUUAGGAUUUGGUUAGGGUUUGGUUUAGGAUUUAGGAUUUGGAUUAGGAUUUGGUUAGGGUUUGAUUUAAAGUUUAGGGUUUAAUUAGGCUUUGAUUUAGGGUUUAAUUAGAGUUUGAUUUAGGAUUUAGGGUUUGGAUUAGGAUUUGAUUUAGGAUUUAGGAUUUAGAUUAGGAUUUGGUUUAGGAUUUAGGAUUUGGAUUAGGAUUUGGUUAGGAUUUGAUUUAGGAUUUACGGUUUGGUUUAGGAUUUGAUUAGGAUUUGGUUUAGGAUUUGGUUGGGGUUUGAUUUAAGGUUUGUUUAGGAUUUGAUUUAGGAUUUAGGAUUUAAUUAGGAUUUGGAUUAGGAUUUGAUUUAAGAUUUAGGAUUUGGAUUAGGAUUUGGUUAGGGUUUGAUUUAAGAUUUGGUUAGGAUUUGAUUUAGAAUUUGGUUGGGGUUUAGUUUAAGGUUUGUUUAGGGUUUGAUUUAGGGUUUAGGAUUUUAUUAGGAUUUAGGAUUCAAUUAAUUUUGGCCUAAAGUUUGAAUGAAUUUCAGUAGGAUUUUAAUUAGAGUUAAAUUAAGAUUGAAUUGACAUGUAUUUGAGUGAUAUUUGUGAUCCUUCUAAUAUUUCUUUAAGAAUUCUUAUUAUUUGUUUUAAAUUUCUUUGAGGUUUUUUUGAACUUUAUUAAGCUUAUUUAGUAUUAUUAUGGUCUAAUUAGAACAUUUUUAGUAUUCUAUUAGAAUUAAGAUUUUGUUAUUGCCAUUUCCAUUCUUUCUUCCACAGCCAGGUGCUCGAAGCAUUCUCAAGCAAGACUUCACGUAUUACGACACCAUCCACUUGAUGUAAAAUUUUGCAUGAA